rnacentral:rRNA from 1 species
AGUGAACGCUGGCGGCAGGCCUAACACAUGCAAGUCGAACGGCAGCACAAGAGAGCUUGCUCUCUGGGUGGCGAGUGGCGGACGGGUGAGGAAUGCAUCGGAAUCUGCCCAUUUGUGGGGGAUAACCUCGGGAAACCGGGACUAAUACCGCAUACGACCUACGGGUGAAAGCAGGGGAUCUUCGGACCUUGCGCAGAUGGAUGAGCCGAUGCCGGAUUAGCUAGUUGGAGGGGUAAAGGCCCACCAAGGCGACGAUCCGUAGCUGGUCUGAGAGGAUGAUCAGCCACACUGGGACUGAGACACGGCCCAGACUCCUACGGGAGGCAGCAGUGGGGAAUAUUGGACAAUGGGCGCAAGCCUGAUCCAGCCAUGCCGCGUGUGUGAAGAAGGCCUUCGGGUUGUAAAGCACUUUUGUUGGGAAAGAAAAGCAGCCGGUUAAUACCCGGUUGUCAUGACGGUACCCAAAGAAUAAGCACCGGCUAACUUCGUGC